UUAUUUAUUCAUAGAACAUGAACAGCGCAGGAAGCUGAACUGAAAGCUUACUCCACGGCUUUUUGCCAAUGGUCCUGCUCCCUACCCAGGAAGAAUGUUGGAUAUUUUCAGAAAUAAGAA
rnacentral:sRNA from 1 species